AGUUGACCAGGAAACAUUUAUGGGGCACCUGUUGUAUAUUAGGGAGUGUGCUCAUUGCUCUGUAUAUUUCAGCCCAUUUUCCCACGGGCUAAUAGAUGCCCAGAUUAGGGAAUUACCAUCUCAGCUCCAGGAAUUCAUUCUGAAAGGAGACUUACCUUGUCAUAUGAUAGAGCAAAAGCUUUGACACUCGUGAUCUCUACCAGGUUCUCAAUGUAGCAUACUCUUCAUCAUGAAUGCCUAGUUAUCAGUGGGGUAUAUUAAAUAGUCUCAGAGAAUUAACUCUUUUCUUGAUGGUUGAAGUGAAUUUAAAGGCAGGGAGAAUCAGUAUUUAAAAGGGAGAUUGUAAAGAUCUAACCAAGCUCCAGGAUCGCUGUGUCGAAUAUAUUCCAAAGCAGUAUACAGUGCUUUGGAUUCCAAACGUUAAGUUGCCCCACUCCAAGAAUACGACGGUACAAGACUUCACUGGAUUAGACUCUUAAACACUUCAACAGGAAGAGAGGUAGCUCCAUAGAUUCUCACCUGUUUUCUUCCGUCUUCUCCAAUCUGUGUGUUCAUGGUUCAUGUGUUUUUUGAUCAAAGGAAGAAGUGAGUCCUGGGAUGUCUGCUUCAAAGACAAGCAGAGAUUUAGAAGGCUUGUAUGUCCUCCUCUCAACCCUGUGGAUCUGACCCAGUCCUUUGGAGGGAAGGGAAAGACCAGCCAUUCCUGGAACUUGAGUUCAGGAUAUUUAAUCCUGUUCUUUGGGGGCAGGAAGUGUGUCCUAAUGUGAUACC
rnacentral:lncRNA from 1 species